rnacentral:rRNA from 1 species
UACAGAGGGUGCGAGCGUUGUUCGGAAUUAUUGGGCGUAAAGGGCGCGUAGGCGGUGCGGUAAGUCACUUGUGAAAUCUCCUGGCUCAACUGGGAGCUUGCAGGCGAAACUGCCGUGCUGGAGUGUGGGAGAGGCGAGUGGAAUUCCUGGUGUAGCGGUGAAAUGCGCAGAUAUCAGGAGGAACACCAAGUGGCGAAGGCAGCUCGCUGGGACGGUACUGACGGCUGAGACGCGAAAGCGUGGGGAGCAAACAGG